rnacentral:tRNA from 1 species
GGGAUGUGGCUCAGCUGGGAGAGCGCUGCCUUCGCAAGGCAGAGGUCGUGGGUUCGAAUCCCAUCAUCUCC